CUUAACACACAAAAUACCAAUUUCUUAAAACUCGUGCAAAAAAUAACUUGGCCAUACUUUAUGGGACGGAGGGAGUAUUUUUUAUUGACCAAAGUUUAUUUUUCUCUUCAAUCGCCGCUGCUUCAUCUUUUCUUCCUGGUAGCUUCUCUCUCUUUUUUCUUCAAUGGCCGCUGCUACUAGGUGUGAUUUUUAUUUAUUUAUUCUAGGCAAUAGAAUCACGUAUAAUGUGGAGCUCCGCCAGGUUAUAAUUUUCUUCAAAGAUAAUCCUUUAAGAAAAUUCUGUUGAAAAACUUCAUUAUAACUACAUAAACUAUUGUCGUUAGAUUAAGUAUUUCUACUAAGAAAAUUAUAUAAAUGUAAAUAAAAUCAAAUUAUUAUUUUUUAUGUUUUAUGUUUAGAAUUAUCAUAGAAAUUAAAUUAAACAAAAAAUGACAAUUUCAUUCCUUUGGUAUUCCUUGUGCUGUUGUGCAUACCAAGCAUAGGAAUCACCUAAAGUUUGUCAUUCCUUUCCCACACUCAUUCCAUUCCUACUUCCAUUUCAUUCCACUCUUAUUCCAUUCCAUCAAUCAUCUCAUAGAGUCAACUUGCUCAAUGACUUGCAAGUCAAUUUGAAAAGAAGAAAAAAAAACAAACAAACGUGAAGCUUGUUAUGUAGGCCGUCGAAAUUGACCAAAGCUUGUGAAAAACGAGAAAGUAAUUUGAUUAUCAAAAUUAUAUAGAAAUUGUUUGAAGAUAAUUCAUGAUAAGUUAAUGUGGAAAAUUUUCAAUGUGAGAUUCAUCAAUUUUAACUAAAUGUAGCUUCACUAUGUACUACACAUUGUAGAGAAUUUUACAUUUUUCAAUCUGUGAUUCAAUAUAAUAUCAAUUUAAUGAGUUUUCAAAUAGUUUUAAUUCUAAUUUUUCAUUUUACUUUUUAAUUAUUAUUUUUUAAUCUACAAAUACAUUUAAAAUAAGGAUAAUAGAAAUGAAAAUUAUUGUAAUAUUAUUAUAAUUAACGUAGUGUUGAAUUUUAAUUUAAAUGAAUUUUAUGUUGUAAAAUUUAAUGUUAAAAUUAAUUAAAAAUAAUAUUAAAUAUAAAGAUAAAAUUAAAAAUAAAAUUUAAGACUCAGGCUCUCUCAAUGUGAAGGGUGGACUCUUAAAUGGCGGGGAGAACUUUUAAGAGCCCAUCCUGACUCUCCAAUGUGGAUGCUCUAAGAGCUCCGAAACUCUCUAAUUGGUUCAAAAAAUUAAUCAUAAUGAAUAAGAUGGAUUAUUUUAAAAUUUAACCAAAUUAAGAUUAUUUUAAGUCCAAACUAUAGCCCAUUAAUAUACUCCCUUAGUCCCACGAAGCAUGACCAAGUUUCCUUUUUGGUUUGUCCCACGAAGCUUGACCAGUUUCCUUAUAUGGCAAAAAAAUUACUCUUUAUUCAUCUUUUCACUUUUACACCUACCACACUUAACACACACAAUACCAAUUUCUUAAAACCCGUGUCGAAAAAAACUUGGCUUCAUCUUCUCUUCCUGGUAGCUUCUUUCUCUCUUUUUUCUUCAAUGGCCGCCGCUACCAGGUGUGAUUUUUAUUCAUUUAUUCUAGGCAAUAGAAUCACGUAUAAUGUGGAGCUCCGCCAGGUUAUAAUUUUCUUCAAAGAUAAUCCUUUAAGAAAAUUCUGUUGAAAAACUUCAUUAUAAUUACAUAAAUUAUUGUCGUUAGAUUAAGUAUUUCUACUAAGAAAAUUAUAUAAAUGUAAAUAGGGUUGGGAUCUAUGAAGAAGUAAAUAUACUUCGUUCUGAAUAAGUCAAUAAAUUUAUCGAAUAAAUCAUGCGAUCGCACGA
rnacentral:lncRNA from 1 species